GACGAACGUUGGCGGCGUGCUUAAUACAUGCAAGUCAACUGAAGCAGUGGUAGCAAUAUCGCUGUGGAGGUGGCGCACGGGUGAGUAACACGUAGGUAAUCUGCCUUCAGGUCUGGCAUAACUCCGGGAAACCGGGGCUAAUAGCAGAUGAUGCAGCGGCUCGACAUCGAGACAGUUGUUAAAGCUAUGGCGCCUGAAGAUGAGCCUGCGUCUGAUUAGCUAGUUGGCGGGGUAACGGCCCACCAAGGCAACGAUCAGUAGCUGGUCUGAGAGGAUGAUCAGCCACACUGGAACUGAGACACGGUCCAGACUCCUACGGGGGGCAGCAGUAAGGAAUAUUGCUCAAUGGGAGAAAUCCUGAAGCAGCAACGCCGCGUGAGGGACGAAGGGCUUUUGCUUGUAAACCUCUGUAGUGAGAGAAAAAAAUCCCAAUCUUUGGGACAUGAUGGUAUCUCAAAAGUAAGCCCCGGCUAACUACGUG
rnacentral:rRNA from 1 species